GCCUGGGUGGCUCAGUCGGUUAAGCGUCCGACUUUGGCUCAGGUCAUGAUCUCACGGUCUGUGGGUUCGAGCCCCGCAUCGGGCU
rnacentral:tRNA from 1 species